GCCGCAAUAGCUCAGUUGGAAGAGCGUUAGACUGGAGUUGAUUACGCAACAAUCAUCUAAAGCUCCCGGUUCAAUCCCGGGUUCCGGCA
rnacentral:tRNA from 1 species